UCAAAAUAAUAUGGAAAGGACAGAAGAGGAAAAGAGGUAGAUGGACGGUAAAUGCACAAAUUCUAAAAGAAAAAGAAUACAUCCAAAAAAUCUUGGAAGAAUUUGAAUAAUUUCUCAAAGAUAAUAAAAAACAGAAUACCUCAUUACAAAACCUAUGGGACACAAUGAAGGCACAUUUGAGAGUGAUAACAAUAGCCUAUAUGACAAAAAGAAAUAAAAAAUGGGGAAAUUACAAUAUAUUAGUGGGGGAGAUAAAGGAAUUAGAAGAUAAAUUACAAAAAGAACAGGGGAAAGAACAAAUUAAAAACAAAUUGGCCCUAACAAAACACAAGCGGAACAUUUUAGAGCAAGAAGAAUUAGCAAGAAAUUUAAAAUAUACAAAACAAAAUAACUUUGAACAUGCAAAUAAACCAGGUAGAUGGUUAGCAUAUAAAUUGAGAAAGGAGAAAGA